rnacentral:rRNA from 1 species
AAUGCUAGGGGGAUGACGUUAAUGUAUGAAUAAGCCCCGGCUAAUUACGUGCCAGCAGCCGCGGUAAUACGUAAGGGGCGAGCGUUGUUCGGAAUUAUUGGGCGUAAAGGGAGCGCAGGCUGUUUCAUAAGUCUGAUGUGAAAGACCGCAGCUUAACUGCGGAAACGCGUUGGAAACUGUGUAACUUGAAUCACGGAGGGGGAGAUGGAAUUCCUAGUGUAGGGGUGAAAUCUGUUGAUAUUAGGAAGAACACCGGAGGCGAAGGCGAUCUCCUGGCCGAUGAUUGACGCUGAGGCUCGAAAGCGUAGGGAGCGAACAGGAUUAGAUACCCUGGUAGUCUACGCCGUAAACGAUGUGCACUUGGUGUUGGGGAGUUAUUCUCAGUGCCGAAGUAAACGCGAUAAGUGCACCGCCUGGGGAGUAUGCCGGCAACGGUGAAACUCAAAGGAAUUGACGGGGGCCCGCACAAGCGGUGGAGCAUGUGGUUUAAUUCGAUGAUACGCGAGGAACCUUACCAGGGCUUGACAUAUACAGGACGGCAGUAGAGAUAUUGCUUCCCUUCGGGGCUUGUAUACAGGUGCUGCAUGGUUGUCGUCAGCUCGUGCCGUGAGGUGUUGGGUUAAGUCCCGCAACGAGCGCAACCCCUAUUGUCUGUUGCCAGCAUUAAGUUGGGGACUCAGGCAAGACUGCCGGUGACAAACCGGAGGAAGGUGGGGAUGACGUCAAAUCAUCAUGGCCCUUAUGUCCUGGGCUACACACGUGCUACAAUGGCCAGUACAGAGUGAUGCGAAGCCGCGAGGUGGAGCCAAACGCAGAAAGCUGGUCUCAGUUCGGAUUGGAGUCUGAAACUCGACUCCAUGAAGGUGGAAUCGCUAGUAAUCGCGCAUCAGCAUGGCGCGGUGAAUACGUUCCCGGGCCUUGUACACACCGCCCGUCACACCACCCGAGUUGGGGGUACCCGAAGUCGCUCGUCUAACCUGCAAAGGAGGACGGUGCCGAAGGUAUGCUCGGUAAGGGGGGUGAAGUCGUAACAAGGUAGCCGUACUGGAAAGUGCGGCUG